UUGACCUCGGAUCAGGUAGGACUACCCGCUGAACUUAAGCAUAUCAAA
rnacentral:rRNA from 1 species